rnacentral:misc_RNA from 1 species
GCCUGGAAAUGAUGAAAAUUGCAUCAAAUAUGUACUGUAGCGGUCCCAAUUUAAUGGGAAGGAGGCUUAACGAGAGUAGUUUAACGCUUUCUUUCACUCAACAACAACGACAACAGCGACUGCAAGAACAAAAACAACAAUCGCGAAAACGAGAAGCACAACUCCCCUGUUGAUGACACGAAGUGCAGUUACCAGGAUCACAUGAAGAAAAGCUAAAAGGAGGACAUGAAAUACAACUAAAAGGGUGAAUCGAACAAGAACUACAAGGGCAACACGAAGAACAAAGACAUGGG